rnacentral:rRNA from 1 species
UUACUAGAGUAGCACUCGCAUAUCAAUAAGCGGAGGAAAAGAAACUAACAAGGAUUCCCCUAGUAACGGCGAGUGAAGCGGGAAGAGCUCAAAUUUGAAAUCUUAAAGGGUUUCCCUUUACGAAUUGUAGUUUAAAGAAGUGUUUUCUGUUGAGGUUUUGGUAAAAGUUCUUUGGAAUAGGACAUCAUAGAGGGUGAGAAUCCCGUAUUUGACCUUUACUUUCAACUUUGUGAUACACUUUCAAAGAGUCGGAUUGUUUGGGAAUGCAGUCCAAAAUGGGUGGUAAAUUUCAUCUAAAGCUAAAUAUUGGCGAGAGACCGAUAGCGAACAAGUACCGUGAGGGAAAGAUGAAAAGAACUUUGAAAAGAGAGUUAAACAGUACGUGAAAUUGUCAAAAGGGAAGCGUUUGACACCAGUGUUGUUUUUCUGAAAAUCAAUUAAAGAACUGUUUAUGCUAAGCUGUUUAGACUUUAUCAGCUAUCUGUUUAGUUUUGAGCUUUUCUUUAAUGCACUUUUCAGUUAACAAGUCAACAUCAAUUUCUUUUGCUGUAAAAAGCUUGAGGAAGGUGGCUUGAGAUUCGUCUUAAGUGUUUAUAGCCUCUUGCCUAUGCAGUCGGAGAGAUUGAGGUCUGCAGCGUAGAUCCUUCGGGGCUAAAUGCAUUUGUGCUAAGUUAUAGCAUUUUAUAGACAACUUGUUGACUAUGAUUUGUCUUGUAGCUUACUCGCUUAUGUUAUUUUACCUACGCUUAGGAUGUUGAGUAGCGACAUACGCAC